AGUUUGAUCCUGGCUCAGAUUGAACGCUGGCGGCAUGCCUUACACAUGCAAGUCGAACGGCAGCACGGACUUCGGUCUGGUGGCGAGUGGCGAACGGGUGAGUAAUACAUCGGAACGUGCCUAGUAGUGGGGGAUAACUACUCGAAAGAGUGGCUAAUACCGCAUGAGAUCUACGGAUGAAAGCAGGGGAUCGCAAGACCUUGUGCUACUAGAGCGGCCGAUGGCAGAUUAGGUAGUUGGUGGGAUAAAAGCUUACCAAGCCAACGAUCUGUAGCUGGUCUGAGAGGACGAUCAGCCACACUGGGACCGAGACACGGCCCAGACUCCUACGGGAGGCAGCAGUGGGGAAUUUUGGACAAUGGGCGAAAGCCUGAUCCAGCAAUGCCGCGUGCAGGAUGAAGGCCUUCGGGUUGUAAACUGCUUUUGUAUGGAACGAAAAGCUUCGGGUUAAUACCCUGGAGUCAUGACGGUACCGUAAGAAUAAGCACCGGCUAACUACGUGCCAGCAGCCGCGGUAAUACGUAGGGUGCAAGCGUUAAUCGGAAUUACUGGGCGUAAAGCGUGCGCAGGCGGUUUUGUAAGACAGAGGCGAAAUCCCCGGGCUCAACCUGGGAACUGCCUUUGUGACUGCAAGGCUAGAGUACGGCAGAGGGGGAUGGAAUUCCGCGUGUAGCAGUGAAAUGCGUAGAUAUGCGGAGGAACACCGAUGGCGAAGGCAAUCCCCUGGGCCUGUACUGACGCUCAUGCACGAAAGCGUGGGGAGCAAACAGGAUUAGAUACCCUGGUAGUCCACGCCCUAAACGAUGUCAACUGGUUGUUGGGUCUUCAUUGACUCAGUAACGAAGCUAACGCGUGAAGUUGACC
rnacentral:rRNA from 1 species